rnacentral:rRNA from 1 species
GGAAUCUUCGGCAAUGGACGAAAGUCUGACUGAGCAACGCCGCGUGAGUGAAGAAGGUUUUCGGAUCGUAAAACUCUGUUGUUAAAGAAGAACGUGGGUAAGAGUAACUGUUUACCCAGUGACGGUAUUUAACCAGAAAGCCACGGCUAACUACGUGCCAG